CACGUAGGCGGAUACUUAAGUUAGGGGUGAAAUCCCAGAGCUCAACUCUGGAACUGCCUCUAAUACUGGGUAUCUCGAGUUCGAGAGAGGUGAGUGGAAUUCCGAGUGUAGAGGUGAAAUUCGUAGAUAUUCGGAGGAACACCAGUGGCGAAGGCGGCUCACUGGCUCGAUACUGACGCUGAGGUGCGAAAGCGUGGGGAGCAAACA
rnacentral:rRNA from 1 species